UCUGGAACCGACUCCAGCCCCAUCGCUUACUCUUCUCUUGCUGAAUUUGGCUAGAAAAUCCAGCAGCAAGAUUACGAACAUCUAGGAAGAAAAGAAUAAAGAAGUUGAUUUCUGUAUUUUUAGGCUAAUUAUUGCUGAGAUUUUUCCUGGGGAAGGAAGUGAAUUAUGGGCCCGAAAGAUUUGAGGCCCAAAGAUACAAUUCUUUACUUAGCCUCUCAACUAAUGAUGUGGGCCUCCAAACAAGCCCCUCGAGCCCAUUCUCCUUUCUCUUUAGAUUUUCUCUUCUACAGCGGGUUGAAUUGAGUAGUGAGUUACAUUGAUCUUCAUUUUGAUUUCAUUAUUUUGAUCAUAAAAUCUAUAAAUCUAUUGAUCCUGUCCGGAAUUUGAGUCAGAUGAAAACCGGAUGAGUUGUUGUUGGCUUUGACGGAGGGGCGACUAAGACAUCUUUCUCGUAUGCGCUUCCAAAAAUGGACUCCCACGUGGUGCUGAUAGACGACGAUUACUGAGCCGGUGGUACCUAAACUCUGCGCACACUCAGACAAGCACACGGGCGUUAGAGGCCAGAAACCAAGGAAAAAAAUUCCCGUAGCAAGUCCUUCGAUGCUCAAGUCAGGUACUUUUUCCCCAGAAGAAUAAUGUACGAAGGAGAAAGAAAGUAGAAGACAGGUGCGAAUGUGCGAGAGAACGUACCUGCGUAAGGGAGAUGACCUCCCUUUUUAUAUGACAGUGCGUACCUUCUGGAGUAUGACUGAUGUCAGAAAAUAACGAGUGUCAGGACUUGUCGAGUGAUGGAGGACACGUGGCAUCCUCCGGUAGGCUGAAGGAAACUUCCAUUCACAUAUGACCGCAAACCGUUGGCAUAUUAUUUGACACGUCACAGUUAUUCUCUAACAGUCAAUUAUGAUUCCCUAACCCUGUUUGUCAUGUAGUACCUUUUAUCCCGACCGAGUAUGAAUAAGGUCGCUCGAGAUGAUCAAUCGGGUAUAACACCUGACCUAGACCUAGGGGGGACGUGAGUUGGGGAGAGAUUGUCAAAGAGCCGACCGGAAGUUGACUGACAGAGAGUUGGCUUACUAAGAGAACUAGGCCCAGAUACAACCAAGUUAUGAGACUCGACCAGUCAGAUCCAGGUCAAGUGUUAUACCGACUGUCCACCGGGUGGCUAAGGUAUCUCAGAUCGAGAGUCCUGGCUUGCGAGAAUCCGAUCGGAAAUCAUGUUGCUGCCGUCGUCACACAAUCCUACUUCCUCUUUCCAUAUCUGUUGAUUACCCUGUCCCUUUAACUUCUGACUGUCACGUCUCAUUAAUUUUUGACUGUCACACCUCUUUAAUUUUUGAUUACUCAAUCUUAUCGGAUCCCACUGUUAUACAUCGUAUCACCUAUAUUUGAUUAGAUUUAAGCUGCAACCACGGCUGGAUGCUAGAAAUUUGAAGGGUAAGGGUGAAUUUGAUCUCAACCUAAGUGCCUUUCACCGUCUACAGAUGGCGACGACGUGAACAAAAGAACCACGUGAACUGGUAUGCAAUUCAUGCUUAUCCACAGCGAGAAUACGACAAGGCUCAACACAUCAACUGUGGAAUGAGGUUGUUUGAUCAACAGCUGGAGAUGCAUUCAACAAAGCAUAGUUGAAGACCAGACCAUCAGGUACACGCUAAAUCCAUGAACUGGCUCACAACAGCAGGAUCAAAUAAAUCUGCAUUUCAAACAAAAGAAUACCAAAAAGAAGCAAAAAAGAAGGGAUAGCCCACUAGGCCAAGCUUCAGCAGAAUUAAGGCUAAUCAUAUCCAACACCAGUAGAACUACUCUUAUGAGAUGUUGAACAUUUUCUUAGUUCACCUCAAUUGAUCCUACAAUAAAAAUAAAAUGAAAGAAAAAAUUGGUUGGAGAAAUCUGCUCGCUCUCCAAGAUCUCAUCUGAGGAGCUCAAAGACUCCCCUACUCUGGGCAUAAACUAUUCCUUUGAAUAUGAUCAUACAACAACUCACAAAACAUCUGAUAUCCUUGCAUAUAUUCGAAGUUAAAAAUAUGCCGGUCUCUUCUCAUGAACCUACAAAAUUAUAAAUUUUCUUAACUUCUCAUCUCCAGGUAUAACUAUCUGACUUCUCAUCUUCUUCCCCGCAACUUUCUCCAGCAAAAGAGUGUGCUCUAUUCGAAACGGCUAGCUGGAGGGGGCCUUGAGGAGAGCCAGAUUGUGAGACACUUUGUUGAGGUGAAGAGGUGCAGUCCUCUUGGGGAACCCACAUACCUCCCCCUAAAACAGCAACCGGUCGGCCACCGAUAGAAGAAACUUUAGGCGCCUUUCGCGUGUGCAAUCGGUACUUCUGAAAUCAAAGAUAGGAAGAUCGUGUUAAUGCUAUACCACAAUCAUGAACCAACAAAAGAUUAGUGAUCAGGAAUGCACAAGGCAGCAGAUGUAGAAUUUAGUGGGUACCUGCAGAUGGCUUUUCACUUCAUCGUUGGUGAGGCCAUCCACCUUCAUUAAGUCUCUUAUCUGCUUCGGAGUCGCCACUGCAUCGGAACCAAUUGGAGAUGAAUCAGUGUGUAUUGCUUCAAACCACCAUUUACAGAUAUGAAAAACUACAAAGGUCAGAAUUUGAUCUCACCUUGAGCUCCACCAAGCUGUUGGAGAGCAUUGACAAACCGGCUAUGCAGCUCCUGUGGCCAACAUCGCCGGACUUUCCUUGGCGGCGGCUGAAGCUGUAAGCUUAGGUGCGCGCCCACAGAAGCAGGGACCGACAUCGGAGAUCCAGCCACUCCCUCACAUCCCGACCCACCGCUAGAAUGCUCCUCGGCGGCAGAUGAAAGCGAACAAGGUGAGUUCUUUGACGCAGUCGGCACAAGGGAGAGAUCAGGAGACACCAACACCUGCUUCAGCUCCCCUUUGGAUUUCAUUGUAGGAGCUGAUGUGC